rnacentral:lncRNA from 10 species
UUGAACGGAGGAGAAAAUUCAGGUAAUUCAUUUUGAUUGAUCAAGCAAAAUAAUUUGAAGGUUAGACCUUAUUUUAUUUUAGAAACUGUCAAAAGUUAUACAAAACCAAGCAUGUAUCUCUGUGCGUUUUGUUUUCUCUUCUCCCUUACUGCUAAGGAAGGGUUUCUUCUCUUUUCUAGGCCAAAUGCUCCACAAAUGAAUGUGUUAACAAAUGAACAAAUUAAUAAAUGACACGAAUGGGAGCUCAAACUGCAUAAAAGUAUAUUUACUCAAAAAUGGGAGGUGACGAUUGCUAACAUGUCAUAACCAGACUCUGUCAUGACCUCGGCAAGCCACAACAUUGACAAUAAAGAGGAAAGAGGAUCAAGUCCCUAAAUACCCAGGUGAACUAAGACCUUCCCACGUGCCCGAAGAAGAUACACUUGCAGAGGAGAAAUGAUGAUGCAGGGGCCUGCUCCGAGAUGCAGGAGGAAGUUUAAUUGCCUGUGAAUUUCACUGGGAAGGAAGGGAUGAAACGAGGUUUGAAAGGAAAUAGAGAUUGUUAAACUCCUGACUAGGCGAUAACUGCCGUCCUUCUCUUCUAUCUGCCCCUGUGACUAGGCGGUAACUGCCGUCCUUCUCUAAUAUCUGCCCCUGUGACCAGGCGAUAACUGCCGUCCUUCUCUAAUAUCUGCCCCUGUGACUAGGCGAUAACUGCCGUCCUUCUCUUCCAUCUGCCCCUGUGACUAGGCGAUAACUGCCGUCCUUCUCUUCCAUCUGCCCCUGUGACUAGGCGAUAACUGCCGUCCUUCUCUAAUAUCUGCCCCUGUGACUAGGCGAUAACUGCCAUCCUUCUCUUCCAUCUGCCCCUGUGACUAGGCGAUAACUGCCGUCCUUCUCUGCUGUCUGCCCCUACCUUGGGCCCCAAAUGGCUCAGCACUAAAGUGCCUUGAGCAGGCUCCAGCCCAAAGGUGGCCUCCAUGGUUACCACUUCCCACUCUGCUGCCCUGCCUCGCUUUCCUCCUCGGCCUUCCCGGAUGGAUGACCGAUGUCAUUCCCAGGUUCCCUAACACUCAAGCCUAGCCCCUCAGUUUCUAGCAAGCAUCAAGCUUCACUGUGUGUCUAGCCUCUCAGGAGUCAGACCUGAGAAGUAUAGCUUGGUGGAAAUUCAGUGGCAGGGAAGAAAGAAGGAAGGAAAGAAGACUCUGAGCUGGAUUCAUACACAUCAUCGCAAUUCAUCCACACCACAGUCCUGUAAGGUAUGUGCCAUUGUACUCAGAAAACUGAGGCUCAAAGAGAUUGAGCAACUUAUCUAAGCCUUCGCAGGUCCUGAGAGCAGAGCUUGGAUUUUAAACACCUGGGAGACUCUGAAAUCCAUGUUAGCUCUUCUAUACAUGAGCCCAAAACGCAGCUGUACACCAAGACUGACUUCCUCUUACAGCUUAUCACUAGCUCUGAAUACAAGAGUCCUCAAAAUGCUUUAUAAGCAACAGUAGCAUCAUGGGAAUAAGUUGGCAAGUUCCCAGCAUUACUGCUUUAGAGGCACUUGAACUUUUUCUCCAUGUAUAGAGUCAAGAAUAAGAAAAAGGAUCCAAAGGAGAAGGAGAGAAAUAAAACGGGACUGAGCCUUAUACUUCUUGACCCAGAACAGACAAUGGUGGGAUUUUCCUUACUUUUUUUCCAGGCAAAUCCAAUAAAGACGUCUGUUUCUGUUACCUAAAACCAACUUGAAAAGUUUGCUCCCUCCCACCUUAAGUGUCUUUGAAUAGAGCCCACAGUUGAACAUUGGUUCCUACGGCAAAGAUUCAUUUCAAAGUGUUUAUAGUAUUAUUCGAAGCACGUUUGAUUUCAGCCUGGGCAACCAUGGCAGAAUGUCAGCAAUGCUCCCCGUAUUAGCUGUCGGAGAGAAAACACUGUGAAACCCAAACACCUUGGUUAUUGGGCCAAUGAAACAUUUAUGCCCUGAUCAGAACACACACACACACACAGAGAGAGAGAGAGAGAAUUGAGAGCAUUAGUCCUUUUCUCCCUUAGACUGAUUUUUUCUUACUGUUAUUUUCAGCCACUUUGUUAACGGUGGGGUUAAAGGGCAGGAUAGAUGUAACACCCAUUUCACAUACAUAUUGCAACAUCAGAGAUGCUGGUUUUCAUUAAAAACACCAGAUCUAAAUUCCUUCUAAAAUAUAUUUUAAAAAAUCAGUACACUUGGCACCUUGGAAAUGCUGAAAUGUUAUCAUGAAUGCUCGUUAUUUGUUAUGAGUCAAUUGAAUAUUAUCUUCAAUAUAAACUAUAAUUUACUGGUCUGAUAGCUCUUCCUAUCUUACCUGUAUAUACUCAAAGGGAGCGAUUUCUCAUGUUUAGCAAAUUGUUCUUUAGGUAAUUUGUUCUUUAGGUUUUUUGUACAAAAGUACAAAAUAGUUAUCACAGCAAACUUUCCAGUAUUUGUUAUUUUGAAGCUAUAUGGUUUUUUUUUUUUUUUUUGCCAUGUCAGGCUUGAGCAGGAUAGCAAAUAUAUAAAUUGAGCUCUCUAAUUAUAAUCUCAAUAUAUGAAUUCUUGCUAAUUAAAAUACUUUGCACCAGCAAAAACAAUUUUCAUGUAUGUGUUUAGGAGGUAGUUAAGUAACUCUAUAUAAAAAUAAGU